rnacentral:lncRNA from 1 species
AUAGCCCCCGUAGUAGCUAACAUAGCCUCCUUUAUAGAGAAUUUAUACUUAUCUCUAUUUUUUGUCUCUCCUCCUUGAUCGUACUUUCCACCAUCUCCUCUUCUUUUUCUCUACCUUCCCCUGUAUUUAUCCAUUCCACCACCAAUCUACGUCUUCCAGAAUAAACUGUUGUCAUACCAAACAACUCUCUGGUUAUUUCCCUAAUGCAAUUGGCUAUCUUUUCCCACAUACUAUCUAUAUCCCUACUACUCUCCCAUGACUCCAUGUCUAUGAACUUUUUCCCUAUCUCUAAGGCACUUGCCAUAGUCAAGUUACCACAUUUGAUACUAGGAUGAUCAUCAAAAAGCCUCUUCCUCCUCGUCUUCUUAAUAUCUAAAUCCAUCACCAAAAGCGCAUGUUGGGUUAAAAGAUUCUCACUUAGAAUAACCUUACAGUCUUUACAAAGAUAUUUAUCCUCUGUCCCAAGGGAAAAAAUUCUAUUUGUGUCUUGUCCACUGAACUAUGGAAGGUAACCAAAUGCUUCUACUUCUUGGGGAAGCUGGAGUUUUCUAUCCUCAAUUCGAAGGCUCUAGCAAAAUCCAAAGGUGAAGCUCUUACUUCAUUCAUAUAUCUGAAACCAAAGCCUCCAUGUACAUCUUGAUAACCCCUCAGAUAUGAAAAGAUAUGCCCAUUAAAAUCUUUCCAUAAGAAUAACAAUAGUCUUAUUAAUCAAAAUGAAUAAUCUUAGUUUUAGCAAUUCAUGUGCCUGUUAUUUGGAUUUCCCAGUUAUGGUGAUGGUACACUUGGGGUUAGUCUGAGUGAUAGUCAAGAAUGCACGAAUAUGAAGCUACUACUCAACCAAUAAUAAAAGGUACCUAUGUUUGUUAUAUUCAUGAAAUUGGUUAAGGUUUACCGCAUAGACAAGUAAUUAUUAUAGGCCUACUCUAUCGAGGUUAUCAAUUUCUGCAUUGAAGUUACUUAUCUAGUGGGAAUUAAGCAUUUUUUUAACAUUGAUUUUUUUAUUCUGAACAUUUUUGUGUGCUCUUGAAGUAUAUGAGUUUCUUUUCGUAGUCCUUUUUGUUCAAUUUCUUUGUUGGCUAAAUAGUUUGAGUCAAUUCUUAAAAAUGUUUUUGGCAUGGUCCUGGUUGGCAAUAAUGCAAUUUUCCUCAUUCUCUAGUACCUUGAUAUGAUGGUCCAUUCCAAAUUAAUUAAUUAUGUGGUUAACAUAUUGUAAUUAAUAACUAUAGUUCGGUAUUGCACAUAUCAACUGAGUUUUUGUUGUAAUCAGUCAUCAUAGUGAAAAGUUGUUGGUUCCUUCUCCUUUCCCACCUUCACUGUGGUGUUCUAAGUUAAUAAAAGAAUGAAAGUUGCAAAUUUCACUUCUAGGCUGCUCAGAUACCUUAUAUUCAUCUACAGGUUAUUCUUGAAAGAUCUGUCAUUUAUGGUUGGGGAGCUUUUCUUACAUUUUAUGGCCGAGGAGCUUUUAUAAAGGUAAGAUCUAAUAAAUUUAUAAAGCAGAAACAUGUUUCUUUGUGCCUCACUUUAAGCAUUACUAUCUGAAUACUGUUAAUACUGUUGGAAAACAUGUAUACCUUGGGGAAUACACCGGUGAAUUAAUUUCACACCAUGAAGCUAACAAGAAUGGCUUGAUUUAUGAUCAUGAAAAAUCUACAUUUCUCUUCAAUCUUACUUUUCAUACAUGAGACAUGACACCCUGUAUACUCGAUUUAUAUUUAGUUCUAUCUCAUCCACCAUGUCAUAAGAAUAAAGUAUCUUUUGUAUUGCUGCAGUUUGUGCUUGAUGCACAUCAGAAAGGUGAUAAACUAAAAAUUGCAGACCAUUCUACUUUUCCAAAUUGCUAUGCUAAGGUUGUUAAAUUUUCAUAAAAACUUCCAAGUCAUGGUAGAAUUCAUGUUUGCUUAUUGCCAAAUUAACUCUAGAUAGGUCAUGAUGGUGUCUGGUGAUCACAAGUUGAUAUCUUUCAAUGAACGAAUUUUUGUGGGAGAAGAACUCUUUAUGGCUAUCAUUAUGAGCCAAACAGUGCACCCGCAUGGCAAGGAAGCCUAUGGCAUCCAGUACUAGGAAAUGGGAUGAUGCUCCUUCAAGUGGUCGUGCUAGGAAGCAUUCUUUAUUGAGCGCCCAUUUAACUAAUUUCUUGAUCUAUUAAUUAUUAUUCUUUUUAUUCCAUAACUCUUCUGUUGAUGACCAUCAAAUGAUACUUCUAAUCAAUUUAUUCCUGAAGAGGCCAUCUUAAUCUCCAUGAUAAUUGAUCAUAGACAUUUUUCUUCUUGACUAGGCCAUUCCAGCUUUUAGAAUAUAUUUGAGUUGGAAAAUGAUUACAGGCUUAGUAGCUUCAUUUUCCAAAUCAUAUUGAAAUCUUGUAAAAUCGGAUCUUGGAGGGGGGGCGAGGUGUUGGCGAAUAGAAUGUUCAUAUCAGAACUAAUACCAGUACAAGUGAAAUUGGUAAAAAUCAAUACUGGUUUACUUUCAAUAAAAAUAGAAAAUUAACUAAAUAGACUACAGUAGGAAAUAAUUAAGAAAAAUACUAAAUUCCACUAGCUCAUUCACUAAAACUAUAUUAAUAAGAAUACACACACGCACUCUUUUGAAUGAAAUAAAC